rnacentral:rRNA from 1 species
AGCAGCCGCGGUAAUUCCAGCUCCAAUAGCGUAUAUUAAAGUUGUUGCAGUUAAAAAGCUCGUAGUUGAAUUUCGGGGUUCUACCGUUGGUUCGGGCAAUAGUCUGUACUGGCGUGUAGAAUUUCUACCUUCUGGGGAACCAUCAUGUUAUUUAUUUAGCGUGGUGGGAAACCAGGACCUUUACCUUGAAAAAAUUAGAGUGUUCAAAGCAGGCUUACGUCUGAAUACAUUAGCAUGGAAUAAUAAAAUAGGACGGUGGUCCUGUUUUGUUGGUUUCUGAAUCACCGUAAUGAUUAAUAGGGAUAGUUGGGGGCAUUAGUAUUCAAUUGUCAGAGGUGAAAUUCUUGGAUUUAU